rnacentral:rRNA from 1 species
GGUGCGCGGCUUACCAUGCAGUCGAGCGGAACGAUUUAUCUGAGCCUUCAGGGAACGAUAACGGCGUCGAGCGGUAGAGGGGGGAGUUCUGCCUAAGAAAUUGCCCUGAUGUGGGGGAUCUCCAUUGAAAACGAUGGCUAUUACCGCGUGAUGCCUACGGGCCCUACAGGGGGACCUUCGGGCCUCUCGCCCCAGGCUAUGCCUAUGGGGGAUUAGCUAGUUGGUGAGGUAAGGGCUCACCCAGGCGACGAUCCCUAGCUGGACUGACCGGAUGGUCACUCACACUGGAACUGAAACCCGGCCCAAACUCCUACGGGAGGCUAUUGUGGGGAGUAUUGCACACUGGGCGCAAGCUUGAUGCAGCCAUGCCACGUGUGUGAAGAAGGCCUUCGGUUUGUAAAGCACUUUCAGUUUGGAGGAAGGUAGCGCAGUUAAUAGCUGCCUUAUUUGACGUUAGCGACGGAAAAAUCACCGGCUAACUCCGUGCCAACAGCCGCGGUAAUACCGAGGGUGCGAGCGUUAAUCGGAAUUACUGGCCGUAAUGCGUAUGCAGGUGGUUUGUUAAGUCAGAUGUGAAAGCCUGGGGCUCACCCUCGGAAUUGCUUUUGUAACUGGCAGACUAGAAUACUGUAAAGGGCGGGUAGAAUUCCAAGUGUAGCAGAGAAAUGCAUAAAUAUCUGAAGGAAUACCGGUGGUGUAGAGCGGCCCCUGUGGAUGAUACUGAAACUCAUAUGCGAAAGCGUGGGUAGAUACCCUGAUUAGACCCCCUGGUAGUCCACGCCGUAAACUAUUUUCUACUCGUGAGUGUGGCUUUUACCCUUGAUUUUCCAGCUUACCCUUUAGGAAUCCGCCUGGUAAUUCGAUCUCAAGAUUAAUAC